AGUGAACGCUGGCGGUAGGCCUAACACAUGCAAGUCGAACGGCAGCACAGUAAGAGCUUGCUCUUACGGGUGGCGAGUGGCGGACGGGUGAGGAAUACAUCGGAAUCUACUUUUUCGUGGGGGAUAACGUAGGGAAACUUACGCUAAUACCGCAUACGACCUACGGGUGAAAGCAGGGGAUCUUCGGACCUUGCGCGAGUGAAUGAGCCGAUGUCGGAUUAGCUAGUUGGCGGGGUAAAGGCCCACCAAGGCGACGAUCCGUAGCUGGUCUGAUAGGAUGAUCAGCCACACUGGAACUGAGACACGGUCCAGACUCCUACGGGAGGCAGCAUUGGGGAAUAUUGGACAAUGGGCGCAAGCCUGGUCCAGCCAUACCGCGUGGGUGAAGAAGGCCUUCGGGUUGUAAAGCCCUUUUGUUGGGAAAGAAAAGCAGCAGGUUAAUACCCCGCUGUUCUGACGGUACCCAAAGAAUAAGCACCGGCUAACUUCGUG
rnacentral:rRNA from 1 species